GUCUACAGCCAUGCUACCCUGAACAAGCCUGAUCCUGUCUGCUCUUGAAAGCUAAGCAGGGUCGGGCCUGGUUAGUACUUGGAUGGGAGACCACCUAGGAAGACCAGAUGCUGUAGGCG
rnacentral:rRNA from 1 species